rnacentral:rRNA from 1 species
CAGGGCUUUCGUCUUGUAAUUGGAAUGAUGGUGAUGUACAACCUCACCAGAGUACCAAUUGGAGGGCAAGUCUGGUGCCAGCAGCCGCGGUAAUUCCAGCUCCAAUAGCGUAUAUUAAACUUGUUGCAGUUAAAAAGCUCGUAGUUGUAUUUCAGCCUCGCGUUUUUUCCCUCCUUUUGGGUCUUUUCGCUGGCUUUUUUUUUACUUUGAGAAAAUUAGAGUGUUUCAAGCAGACUUUUGUCUUGAAUACUUCAGCAUGGAAUAAUAGAGUAGGACCUUGGUUCUAUUUUGUUGGUUUCGAGCCUUGGUAAUGGUUAAUAGGAACGGUUGGGGGCAUUCGUAUUUAACUGUCAGAGGUGAAAUUCUUAGAUUUGUUAAAGACGAACUACUGCGAAAGCAUUUGCCAAGGAUGUUUUCAUUAAUCAAGAAC